UCAAAUAUUAAAGGGCCGCGGUAUAUUGACCGUGCAAAGGUAGCAUAAUAGUUAGUUUUUUAAUUGGAAUCUUGUAUGAAUGGUUGGACAAAAGAAAAUCUGUCUCUAUAUUGUUAAUUGAAUUUAACUUUUAAGUGAAAAGGCUUAAAUAAUUUAAAAAGACGAUAAGACCCUAUAAAGCUUAAUAUUAAAAUAUUAUUGGAUUGAAUUUUAAAUACCAUAAAAAUUCAGUAAUAAAAUUUAUUAUGUUGGGGAGAUAAUAGUAAAAUGAUUGUUAACUGCUUAUUUUUUAAUACAAAUAUAAAUGGAAAAUUUUAAAUGAUCCUAAUUAAAGAUUAAAAGUUUAAGUUACUUUAGGGAUAACAGCGUUAUUUUUUUUGAGAGUUCUUAUCGAAAAAAAAGUUUGCGACCUCGAUGUUGAAUCAAAAUAUCUGUACAAUUGCAGUAGUUGUAUAAGAAGGUCUGUUCGACCUUUAAAUUUUUA
rnacentral:rRNA from 1 species